rnacentral:rRNA from 1 species
CUGAACCAGCCAAGUAGCGUGAAGGAUAACUGCCCUAUGGGUUGUAAACUUCUUUUAUAAAGGAAUAAAGUCGGGUAUGCAUACCCGUUUGCAUGUACUUUAUGAAUAAGGAUCGGCUAACUCCGUGCCAGCAGCCGCGGUAAUACGGAGGAUCCGAGCGUUAUCCGGAUUUAUUGGGUUUAAAGGGAGCGUAGAUGGAUGUUUAAGUCAGUUGUGAAAGUUUGCGG